rnacentral:rRNA from 1 species
ACAGAGGUCCCAAGCGUUGUUCGGAUUCACUGGGCGUAAAGGGUGCGCAGGUGGCGCUUCAAGUUUGAUGUGAAAGCUUCGGGCUCAACCCGGAAAUGGCAUUGAAUACUGGAGUGCUUGAGGUUUGGAGGGGGGACUGGAAUUCUCGGUGUAGCAGUGAAAUGCGUAGAGAUCGGGAGGAAGGCCGGUGGCGAAGGCGGCGCUCUGGAACAUUUCUGACGCUGAGGCUCGAAAGCGUGGGGAGCAAACAGGA